GGGGGGGGGUGAAAUCCCCCCCGGUGGGUGGGGGAUUCUUCGGCCUAACCCCCCGGCAUACACCGGGAUUAAAUACCCCGCUAUACGGGGGAAACCAGGAUGGGGGGUAGUAACGGCUAUGACCCCCAAACCCAAAAAACUUGGCGGCAGCCCAUCCAGCUAAAGGAGCCUGCCCCGUAACCAAUACCACCCGAUAACCCCAACCCCCCGCAUGUUUGUAUACCGCCGCCUAACCUCUAGCCACAAGGUUGGGGUGGAUGGGCCCCCCACCAAGGCAGGUCAAGGUGCACCGUAUCGGGGGGGGGAGGUGGGUUACAUUCCCCGUGGGGGGAACCCCCCCCCCAGGGGGGGGGGAAAAAUGUUUUUUUUUUUCCCGGGGGUUUAAACCCCCCCCCCAAAAAGCCCUGGGGCGUUUUAAUUUUCCCCCUUCCUUUUUUUAAAAUUUAAAAAAAUU
rnacentral:rRNA from 1 species